AGUCCCAAACCACUGAUUUAUCAUGACAUUUUAUACAUUUGCCUUUUAGAUUCUGUAGGAAGUGAAAAGUAGAGUUACAAACCAAAAGUACAAUAGUGGUGUGCCUACUUUUGAUAUCAAUUUUCUCUCCCUUCUGCUUUCAGUCACCUGUUAUCCCAGUCUGUGUGCCUGGUUCUAAAAAUGGUCUCUCUACUCUUCUAAUUUGCAGUUCUGAUCUGCUGUGGAAUGAAUUCCAAAUUACAAAAUUUGUUGGAUUUGUGCGUAAAUAAAAUCAUAGGAUGCUGACGAAGGGACUGAGAGGCCCAUCUGACUUGCUGCCCUUGGUAAGCCGCUUACUGUAAGUGAGCAUGAAAGCUGCAAAUCACAUUCACCAUUCUAGAAGUAUGCUUUCCUGUUGUGUUGUGCAACUCCAACAGGCGAAUCCAUUUUGUCAAGAGUAGGACCAUAUUCCAGGCUAGAUCCUGGUAAAUGAAUAUAUCACUAGAAGAGGCAGUUGAAAAAGGGAACCGAACACCACUGUUGCCUUGGAGUCGCGGAAAACUUGAUUCAAAUGGGCUUAAAUGAUCAGGUAAUAUAUUAUUCCAUUUAACAAGGCUAGAGGGAGAUUGGUUGCAGGAUUGGUUAAUUCAGGGGCUUAGUAACAUCACGGAGGACCCAGGUUCUGUCAUCUUUCCUCUCUGCUUCCUUCUAUGUGUUGGUGCUACCCCUUAUAGUCCCAAGAUGGCUGCAGCACUUCCAAUCAUCACAAGGUUUCCAGAGUCAGAGAAAAAGAAUGUUUUCUUCUUGCAUGUCUCUUCUUAAUAGCAAGAGAACUGUGCAAGUUUGAAUGUAUUAUGUCCC